CACCCAGGACCUAUGGGGGGACCCUACCCACCUCCUCAGGGGUACCCCUAUCAAGGAUACCCACAGUAUGGCUGGCAAGGCGGACCUCAGGAGCCUCCUAAAACCACAGUGUACGUGAUGGAACGGGAAAGGAAGAUGGACACCGGGUGUCAGGCAGCCCUGGCCGCAUGCUGGGCCACCCUCUGCUGCUGCUGCCUCCUGGACACCUUGGACUGAGCGGCCGGGCCCCAAGUGCUCCCUCCGGGCCCGCUGCCUUCUGUUACUGCAAUAAACAAUUAAUGCUGGAC